UGCACACUUCUCCCUUCAAGGGCAUGACCUACUAAACGUACCUAAAUUGAGUCUUGAGACCUCGUGGCAGGAAUGGUGGAAUAUCUCCAGCAGAAAGAAGGGUAGUUCGUACUACGCUAUCCAACCGGCAGUAAAAUCGAAACCGUGGUUUACUCGUUUUAAAAAAUACCCUAAACAAGUUAUUUCGGUUCUAUGCAGGAUACGUUUAGGACAUUGUUGUACUCCGGUCUUCUUGCGCAAAAUUCGGGUGCAGGACUCAUCUCUCUGCGAGUGUGGACUGGAUGAGGGUUCCCUGGACCAUAUAUUUUUUAAUUGUCCCAAUAACUCAUCUUUUGAUUUAUAUGGUCGUCUCCAAAAACUGAAGAUUCCUCUCCCUACUAAUUUCCGUUCCCUCUUAACUUACUCCUGUCCAGAACUGCUCCAGGCGCUAUUGAUGUCCAUCCAUCGUAAUAAUAUUAAAUUAUAAACUCUGGCCUAUCUAUUUAGACCACUGUUUGUAUAAAUGUGUGCCGUCCUACUAACACGAUAAGUUACACAAGUUUGACUACAACAUCAACUUAAUUUUGUCUUUUUGUCAAUCACAAGCACUACUUGCUUCUCCUUCCACUUGUCAUUGGCAGAAUCGUCGACGUUUGCAUCGACAUGGAUUGCCAUAAAUAAAAAUAGAAUAGAAUAGAAUA